rnacentral:lncRNA from 1 species
AUAAAAUGUCAUAUCUGAUAUGACUGGGUUUUUAUCUUUAGAACUAGACACUUGCAUUGUAGUGGUUGUUAUACUAACUCCACUAUUUUGAACUCUCCUAAUAUCAUCGACGUCUUUUUGUGUGGUAGUAAUAACCAUUGAUCAUGUAAUCAGAAUAUGUAGCCACAUGUGGAGAAGGUCCAUGAGCUAUCCAUCUUAAGGAAGGCGUGAUGGAAUUUUUAGGAACUUCGAGAGCGAGGGCAACCUA